GGGAUAUUGCACAAUGGGCGCAAGCCUGAUGCAGCAACGCCGCGUGCUCGAUGAAGGCCUUCGGGUCGUAAAGAGCUUUUCUGGCUGAAGACAGAGACUGUAAGCCAGGAAUAAGUGUCGGCUAACUACGUGCCAGCAGCCGCGGUAAAACGUAGGACGCGAGCGUUAUCCGGAGUUACUGGGCGUAAAGCGCGGGCAGGCGGUCUGACAAGUCUGAUGUGAAAUCUCCCGGCUCAACCGGGCGAGGCCAUUGGAAACUGACAGGCUGGAGGGCAGUAGAGGUAGGCGGAAUUCCGGGUGGAGUGGUGAAAUGCGUAGAGAUCCGGAGGAACACCAGAGGCGAAGGCGGCCUACUGGGCUGCACCUGACGCUGAGCCGCGAAAGCCAGGGGAGCGAA
rnacentral:rRNA from 1 species